CAUCUUCUUCCUCAUCCGGCCAGCUGCCCAACGCUGCUCCUCCCGCGCGUGCGCCCUCGCUGCCUCCUCGCGCACGCGCGUCCGGCUCCCCAGUCAGCCCGUCUUCUUCCUCCUCUGUCCGCUGCACCGCCUCGCGCUGCUCAUCCCGUGCACGCGCUCUACCACAGACGCCUCUCCCUGCCUCCGUGCGCACGCCCAGCCCUGCUUUGCCCUCUCGGCCUCUCCUUUCCUCUCUCCGUCCUCUUUGAACGCGUCGUGGCCCGCCCCUAGCCAGCUCCCCUGCCUCCUGUCUUUUUUCUUCUCUCCCGCCGCGAGCGCCAUGUGCCGCCGCCGCCUUGCCGUGGAGCAAUCGGCUCCUUUCGAACCAGGACAAACCGACCGUGUCAUGAGAUGCGCAAUCGGCUCUACGUCCUUAUGUGAGUAAUUGCCGCGGGAAUGACUACAGCAAGAAGGUGUUUGGUUUCUCAGACUUCGGUCGCCGGGGCUUCUCCGGCGAAAUUCCGACGUACUGUCCAUGGAAAGCUCCUGCUUUUACUCUGAUAGCUUCAGGAUGCUGUCCAGGAUCUACGCCGAGGGGGAGCCCAUCGUGAUUUUGGGGCUCAGCGGAGCUCCUCCUUGGUCGCUGGCCACGCCAAGCCAGUCACGCGGCCGCGUGCAUCCUAUACGAGCAGGGUGCCCGUGAGGUGUUCGACGAAAUGAGCCAAUUCCUUGCGUUGUAGAGGAAGAAGAGGAGGAGGAGCUCCUUGCAGUCUAUCUCGCUUCAAUUCCUUGCGCACGGACGUCGAGGAAGAAGAGGCGGAGAAGAUGACACGGGCAUUCGGGCGCUGUCACCUCCAUGCGUCCUCUCCCUGAUUCUCUCUUGGAGCUGAGCUCACACGACAGCUAGCUAACAAGGGGGCUGGGAACACGGGAGCUUGCCCCCGAGGUGUUCGACGAGCAUGUGUUGUAAUAUUGGAACCUGAACAUGUCAUGUAGCAGAGCUGGCUAUAGCUCUUUGCCUGAACGUGAACCUGUACUGUUAUUCUGCACUUGUCAUUUCCUGAGAUUUUUGUUGAAAUUGAACUUCACCCAAAUUUGA